GUGUUCGCUUCAGCAGCACAUAUACUGAGAUUGGAAUGAUACAGAGAAGAUUAGCAUGACCCCUGUGCAAGGAUGACAUUCAAGUUUGUGAAGUGUUCCAUACUUAA